GUUGAUAGGUCGGGUGUGGAAGCAUAGUAAUAUGUUAAGCUAACCGAUACUAAUUGACCGUGCGGCUUGAUCCUAUAACUUUAACA
rnacentral:rRNA from 1 species